UAGCGGUACUGUUUCUCUUUUGGCAGAGGAAAGAGAAGGCAGCGGGAAACGAUGGAUGCGCAAGGUCAUCAGCAUCGCGAGUGUGAGUAUUACUGGUUGUUCUUCGUUUCAUCUCCAUGGAUAAUGGAUGUACAGAGUUAUCAACAUCGUGACUGUGGGAAGAAAGUAUAAAAACGAUGAGAAGAAGCCUGAUUUCAUCAACUGCAGUAAAAGAAGAGAUGAAACCCUAACCUCUAUAUUCAAAAUAGGUUACUGCUGUACAUCAAUUUUUCAUCUGGAUUCUACUGAUAUAGGAGGCAUUGGCCAUGAUUGCUGUCGCUAGAAUGGAUGCUAAAUCUUAUGUUGGAAGAUGGAUUUCUAAAGAGAUGGGUGGUCACUAUCACUGAGUAGUUUGAAAUGAUUUUCUUAUGUUUGGGUGGAUUCAGAUUUUGGUUUCAAAACCAGGGAAUUUGGAGUACCGUGUGAAGUUACGUGUGCCAGAGAUUGAAAUUAAGGUUGAAAAUUUGGGGUUCUGGGAAUGUAGCAUGUUCUUUACCAAUAAUAGUCUUAUCUCAGUGCAAUAAUAGGCUUAUCUCAGUGAAAUAACUUUUUUACUUGGAUUUUCAGGCUUAUCUCAGUGCAAUAAUAGUCUAACUGUAUGCAGAUGACUUCGAGCAAUCAGAAACAUGCUAUAACGUUUGUUCUCAGUGGAAUCUGGUGUGGUUUUGAGUACAAGCUGAAGCAGAUGGAGAAGAGAGUUAUGAGCUCAGCCUUGAACCGGAGUUGGAGAUGGAAUUGUCGAGUUGCUGUUCAGAAUUGGUGGUGGUCUCUGUUGUUGGGAGAUGGUGUUGUCUUGGUUAGAGUUUGAGCUGAGCAAGAGAUGCAGCUGCAGUUGGAGUUGCUGCUGUUGGUGGUAAAGGAGAGCUGAUGAACACAGAAGGAGGGGUUUCUGUUGUGUGCAUUGCCGAGAAGAAGGCAGUUUCUGGUGGUGGUUAUGGUGACUAAGAAGAGUAAGUGAUGAUAUAUAAUUGGAGCUGUAGAUGAAUUUCAAGGGUUUGUGCUGCUAGGAAUCAAUGAUGCUGUUGCAGUUGAAAUGGGUUUUUGCAGGAUGAGAUUGAAUUGGUAGUCUGUGGUCUAGUUGUGCAUUGCAGGGAAAGCUGAAAUGGAGUAUUGCAGAUGAGAGUGUUUCCAUGGGACUGUAGCUGCAGUUUCUGGUGGUGCUGUUGCUUUAUAGCUGCAAGAAUGGAGUCAGUGUGUGGUUGCAAAGGAACUGCAGGAGAUAGUGCUGAACUGCAGGAGAUGGUGCUGCAAGAACGGAGUCAGUGUGUGGAUGCUUGGUUGCAUUUCAUUACUUGACUUGAUUUUGAUUUUUGCUUGUAGGAAAACACUAUUAUCUACUGGAGAAAAUUUGUUGCGGAGUAUUUUGCUCCACGUGCUACGAGAAGGUGGUGUUUGUCAAUGUAUGAUAAUGUUGGAGUUCAUGCAUUGGGUGUUUGUCAAUCUAAACAGUUCUUAAGCUCAAAACUUUCCAAAACCUACAAGAUUUAUUGUUGAGAAUUCGUAUCGUGAAAUAUAGAUUACAAGACUCGUUCUUGUUGGAAUUUAUUUUA